rnacentral:misc_RNA from 1 species
AUCGUUGCCCAAUGCCUGUCACACCGUGAUAGGAAAUUCCAGGGCGAAAGUUGGCUUCCCGUGAGCGUUGUUGCCUCGCGGUUGGUUGAAAAUCGAGACCUUGGUAGGGUGUGCCAUGAUAGAUGGUGGUCGAGUUAGCACGAGACCCAAUCAUGUGCGGGCUCCCCAAUAUAUGGCCUCUGUGACCCACACGCGUCUUUUUGGCGCUCA